GACGAACGCUGGCGGCGUGCUUAACACAUGCAAGUCGAACGGAAAGGCCCUGCUUUUGGGGGGUGCUCGAGUGGCGAACGGGUGAGUAACACGUGAGUAACCUGCCCUUGACUUUGGGAUAACUUCAGGAAACUGGGGCUAAUACCGGAUAGGAACUCCUGCUGCAUGGUGGGGGUUGGAAAGUUUCGGCGGUUGGGGAUGGACUCGCGGCUUAUCAGCUUGUUGGUGGGGUAGUGGCUUACCAAGGCUUUGCCGGGUAGCCGGCCUGAGAGGGUGACCGGCCCCAUUGGGACUGAGAUACGGCCCAGACUCCUACGGGAGGCAGCAGUGGGGAAUAUUGCACAAUGGGCGGAAGCCUGAUGCAGCAACGCCGCGUGCGGGAUGACGGCCUUCGGGUUGUAAACCGCUUUCGCCUGUGACGAAGCGUGAGUGACGGUAAUGGGUAAAGAAGCACCGGCUAACUACGUG
rnacentral:rRNA from 1 species